rnacentral:rRNA from 1 species
AUGUCGCAUGAGAGCCAUUUGAAUCAACGAUGUCGCAUAAGAGACAAUUCAACUCAACGACGUCGCAUGGGAGCUAUUUGCCCGUACUCCCUCUCCGGCGCACAGAAGGCCGCCGCGCUGGCGCUCAAGUGCCUCUCUGGUAACUUGGGUGUCCGGCCGAGCAUGGAGCAGGUGGUUGCGGCGCUGGAGCAGCUCCAGGGCACCAAGGAGACCGCAGUGAGCGAUCAGGGGAAGGCGAGCGGUGGUGGCACCUGCCGCGUUGUCAGGAAGUUUGGUGGUAGCCGACAGCAGCAACCGUAG